GGCGGCGGCGGCGGGGGAGGCGGGGCGGAGGGUGGAGAACAGCCUGGUUCCAUGGCCGGCCGCCCGAGAGGGUUUUACAAACGAGAAUUUGUGAUGAACAACAACAACAAUACCUCUGCACGGGACAGAAGCUCUAUGGUUGGUGUCAGUCUGUUUAUAUAGUACUCUCAAAUUCUUGUUUCUUUUCGGUUUUUUCUUUUGCUAUUUGGUUGUCACUGUUGCAAAUUUCGGAGUCUUGUAUUGUGUGUUUACUUUAUUGCCCUUUUCCUUGUUGUAUAUGCUUUAUUUAUCCUUUUUUUUAACUUUUUUUUUGGGAUUUUUUUUUAUGGAUCCAUAAUAAUAAUAAUAAUCAUAUUAAAAAUGUUGUAAAAAAUUUUGUAACAGAGAAAAAGAAUACUAAUAAUUCACCUGAUGCCGGGUGGUAAUUUAUCCCAAUAAAACAUACUAUUAACGGUGCAAAUAAGAGUUUUAUUAUGCAUAAAAAUAAUAAUGCUGGAAUCCAAAUGAAAAUUUG
rnacentral:lncRNA from 1 species